rnacentral:rRNA from 1 species
CCUACGGGAGGCAGCAGUGAGGAAUAUUGGUCAAUGGCCGGAAGGCUGAACCAGCCAUGCCGCGUGAAGGUCAGUGCCCUAUGGGCGUUAAACUUCUUUUGUGCGGGAGCAAUAAUGGUCACGUGUGGCCAGACGAGAGUACCGUACGAAUAAGCAUCGGCUAACUCCGUGCCAGCAGCAGCGGUAAUACGGGGGAUGCAAGCGGUAUCCGGAGUUAUUGGGUUUAAAGGGUGCGUAGGAUGUUAGGUAAGUCAGCGGUGAAAUGCCCCGGCUCAACGGGGUGAAGUGCCAUUGAUACUGCCUGGCUGGAGUGCGGAUGCGGGAGGAGGAAUGUGUGGUGUAGCGGUGAAAUGCAUAGAUAUCACACAGAACACCGAUUGCGAAGGCAGCUCACGAAUCCGCGAUUGACGCUGAUGCACGAAAGCGUGGGUAUCAAACAGGAUUAGAUACCCUAGUAGUC